AUUGAACGCUGGCGGCAGGCCUAACACAUGCAAGUCGAGCGAGCGGCGGACGGGUGAGUAAAGUCUGGGAAAAUGCCUGAUGGAGGGGGAUCAAUACUGGAAACGGUAGCUAAUAACGCAUACCAUCAGAUGUGCCCAGAUGGGAUUAGCUAGUCGGUGGGGUAACGGCACACAUAGGCGAAGAGCCCUAGCUGGUAUGAAAGGAUGACCAGCCACACGUGAACUGAGACACGGUCCAGACGCCUACGGGAGGCAGCAGUUGGGAAUAUUGCACAAUGGGCUCAAGCCGGAUGCAGCCAUGCCGCGUGUGUGAAGAAGGCCUUCGGGUUGUAAAGCACUUUCAGCGGGGAGGCGUUACCCGCAGAAGAAGCACCGGCUAACUCCGUGCCAGCAGCCGCGGUAAUUC
rnacentral:rRNA from 1 species